UACGAAGGGUGCAAGCGUUACUCGGAAUCACUGGGCGUAAAGCGUGCGUAGGCGGUUCGUUAAGUCUGCUGUGAAAGCCCUGGGCUCAACCUGGGAACUGCAGUGGAUACUGGCGGACUAGAGUGUGAUAGAGGAUGGUGGAAUUCCCGGUGUAGCGGUGAAAUGUGUAGAGAUCGGGAGGAACACCGGUGGCGAAGGCGGCCUGCUGGGCAGUAGCUGACACUGAGGCGCGACAGCGUGGGGAGCAAACAGG
rnacentral:rRNA from 1 species